rnacentral:rRNA from 1 species
UACGUAGGGUGCAAGCGUUAAUCGGAAUUACUGGGCGUAAAGCGCGUGUAGGCGGCUUUGCAAGUCGGGUGUGAAAGCCCUCAGCUCAACUGAGGAAGUGCGCCCGAAACUGCAGAGCUUGAGUACCGGAGAGGAUGGCGGAAUUCCCCAAGUAGAGGUGAAAUUCGUAGAUAUGGGGAGGAACACCGGUGGCGAAGGCGGCGUUCUGGACUGCAACUGACACUGAGGAACGAAAGCCAGGGGAGCAAACGGG